GUAGAGACUUGUGCGUGUUUGGACCUAGAUUUGGGAUCAUUAUCUGAAGAUGAGAAUGAUCAUUCUUAUUUCUUUCUUUCUUUUUUUUUUCUUCUCUUGUUUUGAUUUAGAUUUAAAUCAAGCUCAAAUACGAUUUCAUUGAUUAACACGUUGAUUUAAUAUGUUCAUCGAGAUUAAGAAUAUAAAUUUCUUUUGAAGUUUUAGAUAAUAAUUAUGUGAUUAUAUUAUAAACGUAAAAAUGUUUGAAAUUUAUAGAUAGAAAAAAAAAAAAAAAUCAAUUUCGUCCGUUCGAUUCAUGAGUCAGUGGGAUCGUCAGUUGCUAUUCAUCAGUCGAUUGGAAAUGAGCUACGUGAUCGUCAUACGUUCACGAUCAAACCAGCAAAGAUGUCGAUCGUCCUUUCGAGGCUGUUGCUGUCUAUUGUAAGCCGCCCAGACUUACAAGUGGUGGGAAUAAGAUUCGUGAUGGAAUUCAUCCUGACUCUGUCAUUGUUUCAAUAAUUUAUCCUUAAGAAGACAAUAUGCGAUGGGGGCGUACGGGAAGGUGGGAGGACCGGGAAAGAUUUACAUCAUGUUUCUUUCAUCUCAUAAAAAUUAUCAUAGAUAAUUAAUAAUAAUUUAUUUAUUUAUUUUACAUAUAUCUAUUUUGGCGAUGACGUUGAAUCAUCAUCAUCAUCAUCAUCAUCAUCAUUUCUAUCAUAUUUUCUUAACUACAUAUACUUAAUUAUUAAUUUAUAUUGUUUCGGUUGUCGAUAAAUUUUUCAAGUCAUUGUCUAUGUCUAGAAAAAAGAACGAACCAUAUUCCUACGUGAUUGAUUCUAAAUUGGUUCGUUCGAUUAGCCGCACCUAAAAGAGGAACGUUAAAGAAAUGUUCUCUUUCUUGUCUUAUCAUCUUCAACGUAUGAUUUCAAUCGAGAUUACAAAAUUGGGUCUAAAGAUAUAAUCGAUCAUAUUCGAUGCAUACGCCAUAACAACGUUAAAUAUAUCAUAUGAACAUUAAUUAAUAUUUAUUAUUGCGUUUUAUGAGACAAACAAGGAGAAAAAGUAUCAAAGUUUGAAAUUGCAAAAAAAAAAAAGGAAAGAAAAGAAAAGGAAAGAAAAGGAAAGAAAAGGAAAGAAGAGAAAAGGAAAGAACAUUCGAGAGAUAUUUCAUCGACGAGAAGACAUCUUCGCGUUCCUAUAUCAUUCCACGAAGUUCUUCGUGGAGGACUCAGAAGAAGUUAAAAGAGAAAACGCACGCACGUCGAAGAAGUCCGCGGACGCGGAGUGAGGCAUAAAGCAUCGACGAAACGAUCGUAAACCAUGUGAUAUCAUCUUCGUCGUUGACCACCAGUUGGGGGCUUUUGUCUCCUUGUGAGUUGUGCCUUUGCAUUGUCUUUCGUUUGUUCUUUAUGGGACCCCAAAUCUUCCAACAGUCUCUGCCAAUACAUGUUGAAACGAUCGAGUGUGUUUAGUGUAACACUGUACGGGAUCAUUUAUGGCAUUCGAUAACUCUAUUUGAAAUGAAAUUUUGAUGUUGAGGAAUUAUAUAUGAAAGAUAUGAUAUUGGAAAUCCAUUUAGAGGAUUGUCAAGAUAAAUAGAUGGAGACCAUUCGGUGUUUCUUAUCAGCCGUAGACAUCAGCGGAAAUUCACAUUUCAUGGGAGAAAUUAUGUGUUCUCUCGGAAACAUCAACGACGAAAAACGAGAAGUAAGAGAAAGAGAGAGAGAGAGAGAGAGAGAGAGAGAGAGAGAGAGAGAGAGAGAGAGGAAGAAGAGGAAGAGGUUCAAUCGGCGGUACAUUUGAAAGUUAAAUUCCACCGCUCGGAAUGGGAAUUUCUGUUGUGGAUGGUAAAGAAGAGGCACACGCUUUUAUUCAAGAUCCGCGGCAAACUUUACUCCACCAACAUCACCCCAACCAACAAGGUCCAGCUUGCAAUCUCUUCUUCGUUGUCGUAGUCGUUGUCGUACGCGUUUCCAUCAAUCCGUCUUGACAUGCAAAUAAUUCGUGGAAAAAAUCGUCCCUCUGUGCGGUUCACGAUGCUACAAUUAAUCACGUAAACGUGGUUAAGGCGCAACAUCCUAUCCGGCUACCGAAGUCACAAUUUGUUAUGGCUGACAAGGUCCUUCGUUUCAGAAAAAGAAAAUGGGAAAAGAGUGAAAAAGAAAGAGAAAGGGAGAGAGAGAGAUAAGAAGGGUGAUAAAAGAGUAAGAAGGGUGCAAAUGUAUUCCUAAAUUUCGAUUAUUAUUAUCAUCUUAAAAUCUUUUACCAUCUAUAAUAAAAUAAUAAUUUUAUAAAAGAAAUAAAUGAGAUUUAAUAAUUAGCCUUCUACACUUAUCACUUUUUAUCUCGAUGAUAAAUCUAUUAUAAACGUUAUCAUAUAUACUGAUGAAUAAUUGUUAAAAUUUUACUAAAGUAAUUUUUCCUUCUUCUUUUUUUUUUUUGCGUUACAUAUCCAUCCGAUUUGUAUGUACAUUGUAUAAUUCAUAUGAAAGAAGCGAUUGUAAGGAAUAGAACGGUGAGAGCACUUUCUAGUUCGUGAUUAGAUUACACGUGGCGGUUCGUUGCACCGACACGGACACGAUGCUGCUUCUCUCUCUCUCUCUCUCUCUUUCUCUUUCUCUUUUUUUUUAUCUGGGAGUAUAAAAAAGAGAAGAAAAGAAAAAAAGAAAGAAAAAAAAAAGAAUCUUUGAAGAGAACGCGACGAUCCAUAGGAUCGACAUUAGUAUGUGUGUAUUUUAUAGAGAGUAUACAUGUAACAUUGACCCGGACGUGGAGACUGAGUUUGUGCUACCGUGUAACAUGGCUCCGUGUGCAUGCCUACUUGGAAUCGAAUGCGCUCGUGCUCCUGCUUUUGCUCCUCCUGCUGUUGCUGUUGCUGUUGCUGUUGCUGUUGCUCCUGUACCAGGCACAUGAAAAUAAAAAUCACUCGGUCCGGUGUGUAAAGUCUAUAAGCGCACGUGUAGCAGAAGCUAUCGUGUCCUGGAGAUUUCUUGACUGUGUAUGAGUCCUCGGUUUAUAUAUGAGAAAGAUAGAGACAGAGAGAGAGAGAGAGAGAGAGAGAGAGAGAGAGAGAGAAGAAAUAAGAGAUUUGCAAGGAAGAGAUAAGUACGAAAGAAGAAGGAAGACUGAGGAUAGUCACGUUUCUUCCCUCUUACAUUUUAUCCUUCAUCGCUUUCAUGCUGAUGAUAUAGCAACUUGGUAUAAAUAGGAUAACUUUUUAAAAUAUUUUCUAGUUCAUAAUAGAGGAGGAAGAAUAUAUAUAUAUAU